GUUUCUGAACUACGUGGGAGAGUGCAUCGCUGGCGGCGAUGAGGUCAGGGGUUCGAUCCCCCUAGGCUCCA
rnacentral:tRNA from 1 species